UACAUUUUGUUUUAAGAUAGGACUCACUAUAAUAUAUAUUAUCUUUUUUAUCUUUAAAAAAAAGUUGAGGAAUGAUGAAAAAUAUGUUGAAUAUGUUAUUCAAACUUGUGUUGUUACUAGUCGCUAUUACAAGCGUUUUUGCUGGAAAAGUACAGGACUUACCACCUUGCUGCCAAUUUGGAGGUAAAAUAUGUGACCCUAUUGCGUGUCCCAGACUUCCGUGUUGCAAACACUCUCCUCCAUCUGGUUAAUUAUACAAAAGCUUUAUAGAUCUUGUAUUGUUUUAACACCAAUCAUCAUGCUUUAAAUAAAACUGAAUCUUAUAUAUAAGAAUUUUAUGAAUAAAAUUGGUUAAGAAUUUAUGAUUCUCCA